rnacentral:sRNA from 1 species
UAUGCUAGACGGGCUCAAUUGGGUGAG